rnacentral:lncRNA from 1 species
CGGCACCAACGCGGAGGUGAGCGCUGCAAACGGUGCGUCUCGGUCAGAGGAGAGCAGGAGGGAGCCUGGGCCCGGUGGCUCCCAGCGGAAGGUAAUCACCGGACGUGCAGAGCUCCUGGACAUACGCUAAGAGGGGCUGAGUGCGCAGAGAGAGGAGAGCCCGCUCUGACCCCCAGCCCCGCAGCCGAGCAACUCUGGGGAAGCUAUUUGGAGCCGUCCGAGCCCGCGCCGGCGAUUCACGCUGCAUCAGCGUUGCUCAAGAUGGAACCAUGGUUUCAUUGGAACCGGGAAUAAUAAUGCCCACAUGGACGGCUGAUUGCUC